AAUUACUAUAAUUAUCAAAGUUCAGCUAAGAGAACUGAGCAAUUUACCAUGACCAAAGUAAUAAGGAACCCAACACAUGUAACAGCAGCAGCAGCAGCAGUGGCAGCAGCAUCAACAGCAGCAUAAUGUCACCAGUCAUCACAUCAACAAAAAUAUGUAGCAAUCAAGUGAGGUGGUUUGUUGGUGGAACAGUCGGAGGGUCAGACAAGAUGAUGUCUGUUGGUCCCUGUUUGGGUUCUGAUAUUAAAACCUACAAUAACACUGGUAACAA